GUCAAUUCUGUCGACGGCAGUUUGUUCGGGUAGACUUGAGAUUAUUUUAGUUUUUCUUGAAGUCGGUGGUGAUCCAAAAUGCAUAGUCAUCCAUUUCCUGCCACUACACGGGAAAAUGACGAUUCGCUUCUCCUUGCUGUGCUAGUGGAUUCAGCAAAUCGGGUCCAGCUAAGGGUUCAGCGGAUAUGCUUCCGAAGGUGAAAUUGUUGAGUGGAAUCCACAUGAAAAAGGUCCUGUGAACGCAGGCUAGGCAUCCAGUUUCCCGCGCGAGUUUGGCAGAAUAUAAAAAUUAGAAAAGCUAUAUUGGACAAUAAAUUAAAUUAAAUAGA